AAGAACCCAGCGGACCUUUGAGAGUGCCUUGAUCUUGUACGACACUUCCUCUGAAACAAGAGCGCCAAAUGCAAAAUAAUGCUUUGUAGACACUGAAUAUAUCUUCAUCCUUGCUUCCUCCUCACUCCCGACGACCUCAGCCAGCUUCUUGAUAUAGCUAUCAAUAAUCUCAUCCCGAGUCAUAUUGGGCUCCGGCGGAUCCACAACCACCAGCCAGUGCUCGAAAUCGCACCCAUCCAGCA
rnacentral:misc_RNA from 1 species